UUUAGUUAUGUAAGCUAUGUUUUAAUUAUUUUAUGCCCUUUGGUAAGCUGUCCAGGACCAGAGGCGUGCCUAGGUUAGAAAUGUUUAUUGGCAUCCCCCCCAAAUUGUAGAAUUUAUUUUUGUUGGCUCUCUACAAUGCUCCUAAUACCUUUUUGUUAGUUAAAUUACGAACACGUACACUCACACAAACAAACAUACACACUCAUAUUCACAUACACACUCACACUCACAAACGCAAACAUUCAUACAGACACAUGCUCACACUCACAUUCAUACAUACACAUUCAUUUGCAC